rnacentral:lncRNA from 10 species
UAUCCACUUCUCUAUCUCUAUGUAGUAACAUAUGAAAAUCAGGCCUCUCUUCUUCUAAUGGACAUACACGUUUGCAUAUAGAAUAUCAGACUCUUUGUAGCAUUUAAAAUCUUUAAAGACAUGAAUAUUGCCUUUUAACAAAUAUAUUUUAGCAAGUACUGAGAAUCGCCUAUUUAUUUUUAAUUUGGGCUAAUCAAUAUGAUUAUUAAUAUUACUGGCUUACCAAAUUUGGAAACACACUUUCAUCCCAAAUGUGGAUAUUUGGUUUUUUUUUUUGCCAAUUUCUUGUCUUACUGUUUCAAAUAUUGUUGGAUAUUAUUUGUAUUUUAUUUGGCAUUUUAGUAUCAACAUUUGUAAUUGAGGUACUCUACAUAUUUUUUCAUCAAUAUCUGGUGGGUUUCAUAGUUACUGCUAUAUUGGAUUUGUAGUAGACAUUGACAAAAAUUAUUCCUGUAUGUUUUACAGCUGUAUGAAGGAAACUAAUAUAUUUUACCCCUAAAUAUAUUUCCUUGAUAUAUUUCAAAAUGGCUAUUGAGAAGGGCUGCAAAUGCAAUGUUAGCUGCAAAGCUGUCUUGGGGAGAUUUGCAUCGGUAGAGAAUCUGCCAUGAUGCAGCCAGGUUUUCUCUGAGGUCUGCCCCCUUGUCUGGAUCUAGGAAAGUUUAACUGAGAGGCUGAGGUCUCUAAAGGUCUGAAAGAAACAUUUUCUGUCUAUUCUCUCUGAGGACUACUCCCAGUGAGGUUCCACCAAUGUAAUAAGUCCACUGUUGCUAGCCAGGGUCGUUUUCUCACAUAACCUUUUUCUUUCUUUUCCCUGUGAUCCAAGACCCCAUUUUUCUGUAAACUUCAUGUGGUAGAUAAGCUUCUGCUCGCAUCGUGUGACUGGGUCUUCGUUCUAAGGGUUCCAGUGUACACACAUUGCAGAAACCUGUAUGCCUUUUCUACUAUUUAUCUGCCUCCUAUUCGUGAUUUUCAGGGAAACUUCAGAAGGCAAAAGCGACAUUCUCUUUAGCCCAUUCUCAGACAAAUUCCCCCAACAUUUAACUGAUUCCUAAUAGCUUAAAAUCACAUUGAAAAAAUCCAUGUAUUUAUAUCCUUUUCUUCCCUCAAUGAUUUCUGGUCAGCUUGGGUUUUGUUUUUCAUUCCAUUUACCUCAUCCUCGAAAAGAUGUAUCUUACGUCUAUUUAUUCUCAUUUAUGGACAUUGAGAAAAGAAAAUAACUUUCAUGUGAGAAAUGCAAGUCCUUUUAUAUAAUCAGGCCCAGAGAGUUAUUCAAAUGAGACAGCAGUUCUGUCCUGCUCCUCUUUGAGCUGUGUGUUCAUCUAGGCUGCUUGCUGUUGCCACAGUAGCUAUAAAUUAACCAAUAACGCCACACCAGACACUAUAAUCCACACCCCAAAAUAGUGUAACAGUGUAUAGCCAGUCACUAAUAAAUGUUAUUUCCAUAAGCCAAUGAGAAUUUGUGACAAACCUCUUUGCAUCAUCCCACUUCUGGACCCUUUUUUGCCUUUAAGAAACUGCUUGUUGCAAAGCUCCAAAGGGAGUUCAUAUCCAAGGAUACUUGGGUCUGUUUCUUCCAGGCAGCUGUCCUCAUUGUGGCUCAAGUAAACUCUUUGAAUUAUGUUUUGUGCUUCAGCCCCUUCCACUUAGAUUAACAACAUGGAUUUGUGUCACCAUGUACAGCAAUUAAAAUGUUUACACUUUUCCCCUCGAGGGCACUGAUGUGUUUUCCUGCGCACUUGGAAUAGCUACGUAGUGUUUCCUGUCUAGAUUAUGGUUUCUCAAUCUUGGUGCUACUUACCUUUAGGACCAGAGGAUUCUUUGUUGUGGGAGGCUGCCCUAGCAAUGUUAGGUGUUUCGUUUGACCUCUAAAUUUCACACCUCCACCAGUCUUGACAUCCCCACAAUAACCCUAGACAUUGACAAAUGUCUCCUGGGGAAAACUCUCUACCAGUUGACAGGCAAAGUUCUGGAAAUAUUGGAAUUGUCAAUUGAGAUUUUAUGUUAUCCAAAACAAAUAUUUUUCUUUGUUUUUAAACAUCUACUUCCAUCUACUUAUCUACUUAUUUUUACUUUUAUUUAUAACUUAAUUCCAUCAAGGAGAGAGAGUGCAUUUUCUGUUAUGCUAAAUUUUUGAAGAAUGUAUUGAUUUUUUAUGACCUGAUAUAUGGAUGAUAUGUAGAUAUUACAUGUUUGUAUUAUCAAAUUUCAUGGUGAUAAUAAAAUAAAUACUUAUAAUAUUUAUAUUGUCACUGUAUA